GGCAGAUAAUUAUUAAACUUUAAAACUAGCUGCUCUUACUAGUUUUCCUAAACUUGUCUGUGCAAAGGCAGAUGUGACCAUUUGUCUAUCCUGUUUCAAACCUUCCAUCAAAAAUGGAGACCUGUAACACCUGUGCCCUGAUGAGAGCAAGGAACCUGCCAUCUAAUCCACAUUAAAAACCUACCUCACCCUGUCUGUCCGGUUUGCUCUGUGACUUUAUUUUUGUUCUCCUGUUGAAACUAUACCUUUAGGGAAAAGAAUAAAA
rnacentral:lncRNA from 1 species